rnacentral:misc_RNA from 1 species
CACGUAGGAUCCAAACGUUAUUCGGAAUUACUGGGCUUAAAGGGUGCGUAGGCGGCGCGGAAAGUUGGGUGUGAAAUCCCUCGGCUCAACCGAGGAAUUGCGCUCAAAACUGCCGUGCUCGCGGGAGAUAGAGGAGUGCGGAACUUAGGGUGGAGCGGUGAAAUGCGUUGAUAUCCUAGGGAACACCGGUGGCGAAAGCGGCACUCUGGAUCUCUUCUGACGCUGAUGCACGAAAGCUAGGGUAGCGAACGGG